rnacentral:rRNA from 1 species
GACGAACGCUGGCGGCGUGCUUAACACAUGCAAGUCGAACGGAAAGGCCCUGCUUUUGUGGGGUGCUCGAGUGGCGAACGGGUGAGUAACACGUGAGUAACCUGCCCUUGACUUUGGGAUAACUUCAGGAAACUGGGGCUAAUACCGGAUAGGAGCUCCUGCUGCAUGGUGGGGGUUGGAAAGUUUCGGCGGUUGGGGAUGGACUCGCGGCUUAUCAGCUUGUUGGUGGGGUAGUGGCUUACCAAGGCUUUGACGGGUAGCCGGCCUGAGAGGGUGACCGGCCACAUUGGGACUGAGAUACGGCCCAGACUCCUACGGGAGGCAGCAGUGGGGAAUAUUGCACAAGGGGCGGAAGCCUGAUGCAGCAACGCCGCGUGCGGGAUGACGGCAUUCGGGUUGUAAACCGCUUUCGCCUGUGACGAAGCGUGAGUGACGGUAAUGGGUAAAGAAGCACCGGCCAACUACGU